rnacentral:rRNA from 1 species
AGAGUUUGAUCCUGGCUCAGGAUGAACGCUGGCGGCGUGCCUAAUACAUGCAAGUCGAGCGAACGGACGAGAAGCUUGCUUCUCUGAUGUUAGCGGCGGACGGGUGAGUAACACGUGGGUAACCUACCUAUAAGACUGGGAUAACUUCGGGAAACCGGAGCUAAUACCGGAUAAUAUUUUGAACCGCAUGGUACAAAAGUGAAAGGCGGUCUUGCUGUCACUUAUAGAUGGAUCCGCGCUGCAUUAGCUAGUUGGUAAGGUAACGGCUUACCAAGGCAACGAUGCAUAGCCGACCUGAGAGGGUGAUCGGCCACACUGGAACUGAGACACGGUCCAGACUCCUACGGGAGGCAGCAGUAGGGAAUCCUCCGCAAUGGGCGAAAGCCUGACGGAGCAACGCCGCGUGAGUGAUGAAGGUCUUCGGAUCGUAAAACUCUGUUAUUAGGGAAGAACAUAUGUGUAAGUAACUGUGCACAUCUUGACGGUACCUAACCAGAAAGCCACGGCUAACUACGUGCCAGCAGCCGCGGUAAUACGUAGGUGGCAAGCGUUAUCCGGAAUUAUUGGGCGUAAAGCGCGCGUAGGCGGUUUUUUAAGUCUGAUGUGAAAGCCCACGGCUCAACCGUGGAGGGUCAUUGGAAACUGGAAAACUUGAGUGCAGAAGAGGAAAGUGGAAUUCCAUGUGUAGCGGUGAAAUGCGCAGAGAUAUGGAGGAACACCAGUGGCGAAGGCGACUUUCUGGUCUGUAACUGGCGCUGAUGUGCGAAAGCGUGGGGAUCAAACAGGAUUAGAUACCCUGGUAGUCC